GAUGAACGCUGGCGGCGUGCCUAAUACAUGCAAGUCGAACGAGGUGCUUUUGUAGCAAUACGAGAGUAUCCUAGUGGCGAACGGGUGAGUAACGCGUUGGUGACCUACCCCAAAGUGUGGGAUAACAGUCCGAAAGGAUUGCUAAUACCGCAUGUGGUCUUCGGAUUUAGAAACUGAUGACUAAAGGAGCAAUUCGCUUUGGGAGGGACCUGCGUCCCAUCAGCUAGUUGGUGAGGUAAUGGCUCACCAAGGCUACGACGGGUAGGGGACCUGAGAGGGUGACCCCCCACAAUGGAACUGAAACACGGUCCAUACACCUACGGGUGGCAGCAGUAGGGAAUAUUGCACAAUGGGCGAGAGCCUGAUGCAGCAACGCCGCGUGUGCGAUGAAGGCCUUCGGGUCGUAAAGCACUUUUCUGGGAGAUGAGCAAGGACAGUAUCUCAGGAAUAAGUCUCGGCUAACUACGUGCCAGCAGCCGCGGU
rnacentral:rRNA from 1 species